rnacentral:rRNA from 1 species
UACGUAGGGGGCAAGCGUUGUCCGGAUUCAUUGGGCGUAAAGAGCGUGUAGGCGGCCAGGUAGGUCGGUUGUGAAAACUGGAGGCUCAACCUUCAGAGGUCGACCGAAACCAUCUGGCUAGAGUCCGGGAGAGGAGAGUGGAAUUCCAGGUGUAGCGGUGAAAUGCGUAGAUAUCUGGAGGAACACCAAUGGCGAAGGCAGAUCUCUGGGCCGUAACUGACGCUGAGGAGCGAAAGCAUGGGGAGCGAACAGG